UACGUAGGGGGCUAGCGUUGUCCGGAAUCAUUGGGCGUAAAGAGCGUGUAGGCGGCCCGGUAAGUCCGCUGUGAAAGUCGGGGGCUCAACCCUCGAAUGCCGGUGGAUACUGUCGGGCUAGAGUGCGGAAGAGGCGAGUGGAAUUCCUGGUGUAGCGGUGAAAUGCGCAGAUAUCAGGAGGAACACCAAUGGCGAAGGCAGCUCGCUGGAACGGUACUGACGCUGGAGGCGCGGAAAGCGUGGGGAGCAAACAGG
rnacentral:rRNA from 1 species